UUUCCUUCGAACAACAUCUCUUUGUUUCAUUGGACUAGAUUCAUCAGAUUCAAAAUCCAGCAAGGCCAUUAGCUACUCAAAUGUUCCUGCUUCCUGCCUUCAGUGUCAUCUGAUGGUCAGGCCCCACCAACUCCAAGGACAGCCAGGAAAAAGUAACUACCAAUAACAGUCAUUACAACUAUUUGGGCUUUCUGGGAUCUAUUUAUUUGCCAUGAAAGGAAUGAUUUUGUUCUCUUUAUUUCAAUUCAUGGCUGUGUUUUCAUUCAGCUGUUUCUUUACUACAGUCAGCCAGACUGUAUUAUAGCAGUUAUAUUUACUGUAACUGAACCUUGUGUGUGAAAGGGGACUGCCCAAACAGAUUAGGCUACAAAAGAUCAUCAUCAUGUUUUUUCAUUUCAAAUGUCAUGAUGUGUCCUAUGAUAUUUUUGCUUUUUAUUGUUCAUUGUUUAUACCGUUGCCCUUAGUAACCCACCUCUGGUAUGCAUAUUUCUCUGGGACAUCUCAGGAGUCACCAAGUAAGUAAUAAAAAUGUUUCUCUGAGUCACUUCGAGUGCAGUGGAGAAUGCGACAAGGGCGGGCAGUCGGAGGAAGCUUUUCCUCUAUCGUUUCUAUCAAAUUUAAUAGAUUUUUGUACUAAAGGACUGGAAUUGUAAUUAUGAGUUUGUCUUAUUUUUCAUUAUUCAUUUAUAAACCAAACAGUUCUGAAUCAGUUGUUUAUGUGUUGACACUGAUGCAAAAAGUCAAAUAUAGUUGCAGGAAGUGAUCCAAUAAGGGCCUGAACUACCACUUCUGGGGUAAAAUAGAGUUUCUGUUUUGUUCCUCGACACUUAUUGUCCUUAACUCCUAUCUGCACUGCUCAGUAGCCAAUGGUAGAUUGCUGUGGUUGUUUUUGGCAACUCUCACAACAGCUAAAAGUCAAACUGUCACCAGGAUCUCACAUUCUGUUGUUUAACUGUUGUGGAGAAAAACUGAAUGUAUUAGCAUCUGCCUUUCUAAAAAAAUUGCAAUGCAAUUUCUGUAAUUUGUGCGCAAUUUUUCAAGAAGCAUUUAACAUUUUCAGCUGUUUGCUCAGCUCUGACGGAGAAAAAAAUGUCAGUGGAAAUCAUAUUACAUUGGCAAUAACAUAACUACAUGUUGGACUGUAAAAAAAAAAGCAAAAAUAAUCCAUGGAUUGGAUGAAGCUGCAGGUAAAUUUUGCCUUAAAAUUUGCAAGAUCGCUAACUCUGGUUUAAAAGAACUUGAACUUGUUGAAAAUCUGCACGUUACAGCAUUUUUUUGCUCCAUGGUUCAGACAGUGCUUCUGUUUUGAAUAUUAUACCACACGUUGUAAACAGGGGAUGUUUACAGACAGAGAACAGAUGACAAGCUGCAUUACUCAAGUUCAAAACCACAAAUUCCCAAUUACAUGGCAUGAACCUCAGACCACGGGGCCACCAAAACCUGGAAUCCCUCUCAUCACAUAUAGAUGUCUCUCAGCUGCCUUUUCAAACUCCAGUCAGUGUUACACACACAAUAACAGAAUACAUCAAGGUGUGAAAUAAUAAAAAUAAAAUUGGGUUGCAUAUAAACCUCAUUUCACAGCAGCUUCAGCCAGAUUCCUCCAGUGCUAAUACUGUACUUUAACCAGGAGAGAGGAUCUUUCAGGCAACCUGAGUCGAACCAAUCACAAGAUAAGGGAGAACUUUAGUUUCUAAUAGGUUCAUGAUGGCAUUUCGUCCCCUCUGUCCUCUUGAUGCUCUCCUGCCCUUCCUCUCACACCCCUUCCUAUAAUCUGUUUCCUUCCCUUGUCCAUUUUUCCCUUUUCCUCACUCCUUCCCCCCCUCAUUCACUUUCUCCUUUCCCAGCUUCCCUUAUUUCUCUUUCAUCAUCCAUUAUUACUCCAGUCUUCCUAUGUCCUGCGGCCGCCCUUUCUCUCCUUCACCCUCUUUCUUUGCAUGUCUCUCCUCUUCUCUCCCUUCCACCCUUACCCCCUCCGCUUUCUGUCUCUCUGUGCUGCCUGCCCUGGUUUCAUUGACAGACUGCAGGCGGUGAGGGGGAGGAAAUGCUGUGGCAUUGCACAGCAAACAUCCCUAAUAGGCUAAUCUAAUCUCAUCUCUUUGCGGUCUAUGGCCCUGUGUUUACUUUCGGCCCUGUGUCUGCACGCUGGCUCGGCCUCGCCUCGCUGAAUGCGGCUUUGUUCCUGCUGAAAACUCAUCAUCGGUGUGAUCUCUGGAACGGGCGCCAACUCCACGACCGUCUGCCCAUAAUGCCUGCAGGCCGGGGAUCGUUGUCAUCCGUGCACAGCCUCUGUAGCUGUUGUUGUUUAUUUUUUAUUAGGUUUUGUUUCAUUGAAGAAACAAGGUAGCGUGCAGAGUCCUGAGGGUACUGCUCUGUAUCUGACCCUGACCACCAACCUCCCUGUGGGGUUGUUCUAAUGAAGAGAGAUACUGCAUUUUACUCUACAGCCAACAGCGCAGUAUACCAGGAGGAGAUAAAACCACACUACUGCGAGGUGAGUGCAAGAAUACCCGACAGUAACUGAAUAACCAGUCAAAGUCAAAGGUUCACCAACCAUCUAAAGCGCAAAGCAUUCAUUAAAGUUCACCCCAGGACAAGUAUCUGCACAUAUUCAGAAUCUGAGCAAAUGCAUCAGUUCAGAAUGAUCCAAUAAAUUAUAACAAAUGUGUUUACAAAGCAGAAAGUUAAAGUUAAAGAACAUGUGAUACAAAAGAAAAAGAAAGAGGAGAAGGUUCAGUCCUGCAACUAUUAAUGUCCUCCAAUCAUACUUUCAGCUUCAAUGAGACAGUGUCUGAAACCGCAGUCGAAGCAGUUGUACCACCAUGUUUCAAACAGCAGUGUGACAGCAUGUAUGCAAAAGGAAAUUUAUUCCAGGCCAGGUGAACCUUUGGAAGAAUUUGUUUCACAAGUACUGCCAGCUGCAGUGAUUCCUGCCAUUAUCUUACUGCUGGUAUUGACGACUGCAAUGCUCCAAGUCUCUGUUGAAAUCAGUGCUUCUGUUACUCACCCCUGGCAGCAGUGGACACCAGGACCAUCUCCAGCACCAGAAAGACCCAGAGCAGCUCCAUUGUGGUUUAGUUUUCAGCCUCUUUGAUCUGAAAGGAAGUGAUAUGAGAUAAAUACUUAUAGAUACUGAGAAAUAAUUUCACAUUUUAAUCUAUUAUAUAACAUUUCUGUACAGGAAUCGUCAAUUUAUCACAACUGCUGCAUUGUCCACCGUUAGAGUCUUUAUUCCCAGAAUUUUAUUCUAAGUGGUUAUUUAUCUUAAGGUCUUUUUAUUGAUCUCUCUCUGUAAGUCCUGGUUCUUAGAACCUGGAGCACUUUUUUUUUAUCUUUAUCCUUUAUCAUGUUAUUAUGUACUGUAUUAAGUGUUUACUCCUGUUGUUAUGUCGCAGUGUCCAUAUGUGUUUUUCUCUGUUCUUCGUAUCUAUGUAUGCAUGUACAGACUGCGGUGACAAAUUUCCUGUGAAGGACAAUAAAGUAUAUAUUAUUAUUAUAUAUUAUUAUCAUGGAUUAUGUUUGUCUAAUGCCUUGUGUUUUACUGCAAACCAAAUCUACCCAUGGGCACAAAUAAAGUAACCUUGAACCUUGA